rnacentral:lncRNA from 1 species
UUAUACCUAUUGAGUACGAUAUGUGCUCACUCUUGCAAUUUUCCCAACACCCCAGGUUAUGCUAAUGAUGAUGAUUGGAAUGAGGACUAUCGCUAUGAGUAUUAGGUUUGGAGUCAACCAAUCAACAGUGUCCAUGUGUGGAGCUUUCGUUGAGAACGUUGUUUACUUCUUGUAAUCAUUUAUGUAUAAGACUAUGUGAUUUAUUAUGUUCCGUUAUGUAAUAAACACUGCAAUGGUACAUUUGCGAUUUGUCUACUUAUGUGUGCGACUGUUUCUGGGGCACAUAUGAGUCUUUUAUGCAUCCUAUUUUGUUCUUAAAAUAUGGGUGUGAUAGGAGAUUUAUUAAAAGGAGCACAAGUCUUACAAACCAAAAAAGAAAGGACAGAACAAGAACAAAGGGGAACAUGAGGAGUAACAGCAGACAGCAGACCACAAACCGCAGACCACAGACUAGACUAGAAGGCUUAAGAAACAAAAAACGAAACAAAAAAGAUAAGGGCCA